GAGACCACAGGCAGAGAUCGCCACACCCCCAUCAGGACGGCCAGCACAGAACCGGUGAUGCCGCGGUGUAGACACAGGGCCUGGACCUCCAGAACCAGCGAUGCCCCAGUGUAGACACAGGGCCUGGACCUCCAGAACCAGCGAUGUCGUGGGGUAGACACAGGUCCUGGACCUCCAGAACCGGCGAUAUCGUGGUGUAGGCACAGGGCCUGGACCUCCAUUGCUGGCAGGAAUGCAAAUGGCAUGGCCACUCUAAACACCAGCUUGACAGUUUCACCCAAAAGUAAACACCCGACUAAUGUACAACCCCACAAUGACACUCUUGGGGUGUUUAUUCCAAAGAAAUGAAGACGUAUCUUCAUGCCAAAAACUGUGCAGCUGCAUUUGUAACAGGCAGAACGUAGAGACAACCCGAGCGUCCUUCAGUGGACACACGAACGGCCGCACCGCGGAACGCUACUCAGCCAUGAAAACAAACAGACCAGCUGCACACAGCAACUUGGACCAUCUCCAGAGAAUUCUGCCGAGUGGGAAAAGCUGACCUCAAAAAGCCUGUACAUGCCAUGACGCUGUUUAUGGAACUGGCAUCAUCAAACCAGAGACCGAGAACAGGUGAACCCGUGAGCAACUGUGGUACCUCCACCUGUCCCACAACCUACAACUCAGCAGUACCAAGGGCUGGACGCUGGUGCCACCACACGGGUCCCGCGAAGCCUGCUGCGAAGUGAAGGAAGCCAGACACAAAAGUCUCCAUCCUGCGGGAGUCACUCACAGGACAAUUCUGGAGGACGCAAAGCUGUAGGAGCGAGGAGAGACAGGUGGUGGUUGGGGGCCGGGAAGGGGCCUGACUGCAGAGGGGCAAAAUGUGGGCUGCCUCUGUCGGGGCAGAAGUGCCCCACUCUAGACCCUUACCAAGUCGUCGGCUGUACAUCGAAAACGGGUGAGCCUUAUGUGUGUACGUGAUACCGCAAUAAACCUGACUUGUAAAAGCA
rnacentral:lncRNA from 1 species